rnacentral:rRNA from 1 species
UAUCUAAACCUAAAGGCGCAAUGAAAGUAAAGGUUCGUCUUGCACGAACCUAGGGAGGAUGGGUGAUCGUUACGGCUGUUGCCCCGCACUCCCGGGGCGUCUCAUUCUUAUUGCAAGAAGAGGCGCACCAAGAGCGUACACGCUGGUACCCGAAAGAUGGUGAACUAUGCCUGGUCAGGACGAAGUCAGGGGAAACCCUGAUGGAGGUCCGUAGCGAUUCUGACGUGCAAAUCGAUCGUCGGAACUGGGUAUAGGGGCGAAAGACUAAUCGAACCAUCUAGUAGCUGGUUCCCUCCGAAGUUUCCCUCAGGAUAGCUGGCGCUCAUUGCGCACGAGUUUCAUCCGGUAAAGCGAAUGAUUAGAGGCAUUGGGGUCGAAACGGCCUCAACCUAUUCUCAAACUUUAAAUGGGUGAGAUCUUCGGCUUGCUCGAACUCUUGAAGCCGCAAGACUCGAAUCAGAGUGCCAAGUGGGCCAUUUUUGGUAAGCAGAACUGGCGCUGUGGGAUGAACCAAACGCAGAGUUAAAGCGCCUAAAUCGACGCUUAUGGGAUACCAUGAAAGGCGUUGGUAACUUAAGACAUCAGGACGGUGGCCAUGGAAGUCGGAAUCCGCCAAGGAGUGUGUAACAACUCACCUGCCGAAGUUACUAGCCCUGAAAAUGGAUGGCGCUGAAGCGUCGUGCUUAUACUCUGCCGUCAGCGGCAUGUGCGGUUGAUGCAAAUCGGCCAUGAAGCCCUGACGAGUAGGAGGGUCGCGGCGGUGUGCGCAGAAGGGCUGGCCGUAGGGCCGUCUGGAGCCGCCGUCGGUGCAGAUCUUGGUGGUAGUAGCAAAUACUCCAGCGAGGCCCUGGAGGACUGAUGUGGAGAAGGGUUUCGUGUGAACAGCCGUUGCACACGAGUCAGUCGAUCCUAAGCCCUAGGCGAAAGCCGAUGUUGAUGUGGUGUAUAUUUAUUUACUACUGAUAGUACACACCCAUUGGGCGAAAGGGAAUCCGGUUCCUAUUCCGGAACCCGGCAGCGGAACCGCUUAAAAGUCGGGCUCUCGUAAGAGUGUUCGUCGGGGCAACCCAAAAGGACCCGGAGACGCCGUCGGGAGAUCCGGAAAGAGUUUUCUUUUCUGUAUGAGCGUUCGAGUUCCAUGGAAUCCUCUAGCAGGGAGAUAUGGUUUGGAACGCGAAGAGCACCGCAGUUGCGGCGGUGUCCGGAUCUUCCCCUCGGACCUUGAAAAUCCGGGAGAGGGCCACGUGGAGGCGUCGCGCCGGUUCGUACCCAUAUCCGCAGCAGGUCUCCAAGGU